rnacentral:lncRNA from 1 species
CUACGCCCCAGAGCGCCGCCGCCAUCCAAUCGCCUUCUUUCUGGCGGCUUUCCUCCCGGGCUCGCCGGGGUCGUGGUUCGCGCUGAUAGGCUGCGGAGGCCGCCGCCCCGCCCCGUCCCUGAUAGGAUAACGUGGAAGCACGAGACGAGGCUGCGCCCGCCGGUCGCAGAGCUGUCAGCAAGCUCCAAACCGCGGCUGCCGCCCGGAGGGAAGCAGACGGGGAGUCGGUGGCGGCCGCCGAGUCCGCAUGCGCAGGCUGCAAAGGCCCUUUUGGGCCGGUCCCGCCGCGCUAGGUUGGCGAGUGGGACUAUUUGAUCCUUUCCAGGUUCGCCAGCGUGGUGUUACGAGAGGAAAGCGCAGCCGCAGCGUACGAAUGGGAAGGCCAAACACGGUCCCGGGGAGUCUGAGGGAAGCUGCAGGGCGCCUGGAAUUGGGGUCUCGAGUGAGCCGGUAAAAACCGCCUCCCGCUGAGCGUCCCGGAACAAAUACUGUCUGAACUGAGCCGUAAGCAAGAAACGGUCAGGAGAAGCUGGGGCGAUCUGAUGAUUAGAACAUUUCAGGGACUACCAGAGAGAAGUGCGUAAUUGCUCUAAGGCAGGUAGGUAAUUGGCCUGGAAACUUGGGAACGCCCCGCCCCCCACCCCGACUUUCAGCAAACCACCGUGCCCAGGAAAAAGAGCGAUUGUGGAAGACCCUGUGAAGAAGAGACCAGGAAGGCACUGUGGCUUAAGAGAGCAAGGCGUUCCUGAAUGCAGCCAACAUCAACUGGUAAACAAAAAACUGUGAGAACGGAUCCUGAAUCUUGCGCUUACCAGGGGAAAUUCAGGAGAGAUAUGAACCUGAGCAAGAUGAGGUUGAAGUUACUCAAUGCGGCAUUAAGCCUGUUCACGGCCACUUCCUCCGGCGUCACCAACACACACACUGUACACCAGCAGUAUUUUUACACGGGGUAUGUGUGUUAAGUACUAUCAGGUGGAUAAUUAUUACUUCACCUGUAUUUGCUGCCUUGAUACCAUUAGAGAAACUCAUGAAUUAUAAAUAGCAUAGUGAAUUUGUGAUUCCCUGAAGAUAUACUAAGGUGGACUUUUAAAAAGGCUUCUAUUCCAAAGGGAACUAAUAUGGAGGAAAUGGUUUCGAGAAAGAAAAAAGAAAAAACGGAGUCCUUGAUUAGUUGUGGGGAAGGCAACAUAAUGUAAUGUGAAGAAUAAAGGAGUCAGAUCCAGGAAACCCCAUAACUAUUAUCUUUUCUACCAUGGGAAGAUGCAGUGUUUUUCCCCUACAAGGAUUCAGCAUCAAGGCUUCAUCUUGGAAGCAGAGAUUGGACCUUCACCAGAAAAUGGAACACGGCGGCACCUUGAUCUUGAACUUCCCAGCCUCCAGAACUGAGAGAAAAUAAAUUUUAUAUCAUAGCAGCACAAACAAAGACAGGCUCCUUCAGCAGCUUCACAGAACCUUGGAUGCCUCCUGGCCCAGGAGCCAGUGGGGACACCUGGCCAUUCCUGGGAGGUGGAGAAAGGAUGCAUGGAGGAAGAGAGGCAUCCACCUGGCUCAGAGAACACUAAGCAGCAAAAUAUUGAAAGAGUUGUAGUGCUUCUCUUAACUGCUUCUAUUAAAAUGCAAGAGGAGAGAAAUGACUUAAAGAUAAAAUUUAUAAUUAAAAGAGAAGCAGAAUGUAAAGAUUUGGAAAAUUCACAGCCUGGGCAUAUAAAGAUUUAAAAAAUGUGUUGGGGAGAAAACCGAGAGUGGCCAAAUGACUGUUGAUAUGGAGAUUACUAUGGAUACAAGGAAGCCAGCUUUCUGCCAUGUGAGGACGCUACCAGAAGGCCCUCAUCAGAAACUCAAACCUGCAAGAGCCUUGAUCUUGGACUUCCCAGCCCCCAGAAGUAUGAGA